CUGCAGCCGUUUAAGCUAACCAUCCUCCUUUCCCUGUGGCGGCCCCGUGUGCAAUAGCUGCAGACAGCAGCUUCCUUGGUAGUGUGCAGACCCUACUGCUUGUAUGGAUUGCCUGGAGGGACCUUGAAGACAGCC
ensembl:snoRNA SNORA70 Small nucleolar RNA SNORA70